rnacentral:lncRNA from 1 species
CAUCCAAUACAAAUGAUAAGAAUUUAAAGAUUAUAAAUAUAUAUUCACAAAAUGUAAAAACAGUUUUCUUGUAAAACAUACUCCAAUAAUCUUUACGUACAACUUCAAAAAAAUCAUUUUUCACAGUGUCUUUGCUGAAAGAAACAGUCUGAACCAGCCUCAUUUGCUGGUCCUAGCUGGUUUAAAUGGUUUACUGUAAAGAGUUUUAAGCAGAGCUGCUAAAUCUCUGUUUUCUUUUUUUUUUUCUUUUUUUUGCAAUUUUGUAAGUUUUAAUUGGUGUUUGCAUUUUUGUAAUUUUGAAUUGGUGUUUGCAUUUUUUGUAAGUUUGAAUUGGUGUUUGCAUUUUUGUAAGUUUGAAUUGGUGUUUGCAUUUUUUUGUAAGUUUGAAUUGGUGUUUGCAUUUUUGUAAGUUUGAAUUGGUGUUUGCAUUUUUUGUAAGUUUGAAUUGGUGUUUGCAUUCUUUGUAAGUUUGAAUUGGUGUUUGCAUUCCUUGUAAGUUUGAGUUGGUGUUUGCAAUUUUGUAAGUUUGAGUUGGUGUUUGCAUUUUUGUAAUUUUGAAUUGGUGUUUGCAUUUUUGUACGUUUGAAUUGGUGUUUGCAAUUUUGUACGUUUGAAUUGGUGUUUGCAAUUUUGUACGUUUGAAUUGGUGUUUGCAAUUUUGUACGUUUGAAUUGGUGUUUGCAAUUUUGUACGUUUGAAUUGGUGUUUGCAAUUUUGUACGUUUGAAUUGGUGUUUGCAAUUUUGUACGUUUGAAUUGGUGUUUGCAAUUUUGUACGUUUGAAUUGGUGUUUGCAAUUUUGUACGUUUGAAUUGGUGUUUGCAAUUUUGUACGUUUGAAUUGGUGUUUGCAAUUUUGUACGUUUGAAUUGGUGUUUGCAAUUUUGUACGUUUGAAUUGGUGUUUGCAAUUUUGUAC